AUAUAGAUACUGGCAUGAGGAAGGCAUCGGCCGAGUACCGAAAAAAGAGCCCGAUAUAGGGGGUCCAGUAACAGGAAUUGGGGGGGGAGCACAGGAUGGGCAAGACCGGUGCCAGCCGCCGCGGUAAUACCGGCAGUCCAAGUGAUGGCCGAUAUUAUUGGGCCUAAAGCGUCCGUAGCUUGCUGUGUAAGUCCAUUGGGAAAUCGACCAGCUCAACUGGUCGGCGUCCGGUGGAAACUACCCACCUUGGGGCCGAAAGACUCAACGGGUACUUCCGGGGUAGGAGUGAAAUCCUGUAAUCCUGGACGGACCACCAAUGGGGAAACCACGUUGAGAGACCGGACCCGACGGUGAGGGACAAAAGCCAGGGUCUCGAACCGGAUUAAAUACCCGGGUAGUCCUGGCUGUAAACAAUGCUCGCUAGGUAUGUCACGCGCCAUGAGCACGUGAUGUGCCGUAGUGAAAACAAUAAGCGAGCCGCCUGGGAAGUACGUCCGCAAGGAUGAAACUUAAAGGAAUUGGCGGGGGACCACAAC
rnacentral:rRNA from 1 species